AUACGGAGGAUCCGAGCGUUAUCCGGAUUUAUUGGGUUUAAAGGGAGCGUAGGCGGACGCUUAAGUCAGUUGUGAAAGUUUGCGGCUCAACCGUAAAAUUGCAGUUGAUACUGGGUGUCUUGAGUACAGUAGAGGCAGUCGGAAUUCGUGGUGUAGCGGUGUAAUGCUUAGAUAUCACUAAGAACUCCGAUUGCGAAGGCAGCCUGCUGGACUGUAACUGACGCUGAUGCUCGAAAGUGUGGGUAUCAAACAGGAUUAGAUACCCUGGUAGUCCACACAGUAAACGAUGAAUACUCGCUGUUUGCGAUAUACAGUAAGCGGCCAAGCGAAAGCGUUAAGUAUUCCACCUGGGGAGUACGCCGGCAACGGUGAAACUCAAAUGAAUUGGCGGGG
rnacentral:rRNA from 1 species